rnacentral:rRNA from 1 species
UACGAAGGGAGCUAGCGUUGUUCGGAAUCACUGGGCGUAAAGCGCACGUAGGCGGAUGUGUCAGUCAGGGGUGAAAUCCCGGAGCUCAACUUCGGAACUGCCUUUGAUACAGCACGUCUUGAGUCCGAUAGAGGUGGGUGGAAUUCCUAGUGUAGAGGUGAAAUUCGUAGAUAUUAGGAAGAACACCGGUGGCGAAAGGCGGCCCACUGGAUCGGUACUGACGCUGAGGUGCGAAAGCGUGGGGAGCGAACAGG